rnacentral:rRNA from 1 species
CCCUUAGAUGUUCUGGGCCGCACGCGCGCUACGCUGAUGCAUCCAACGAGUUUCUUCCUGGUCCGAGAGGAAUGGGUAACCUUUUGAAAGUGCAUCGUGAUAGGGAUAGACUAUUGCAAUUAUUGGUCUUCAACGAGGAAUUCCUAGUAGACGUAGUUCAUCAGACUGCAUCGAUUACGUCCCUGCCCUUUGUACACACCGCCCGUCGCUCCUACCGAUUGAAUGCUCAGGUGAGCCAUUCGGACUUUCAUCAUGCUGGUUUCCAGUUUUGAUGAAGGAAAGUCUUGCGAACCUUAUCAUUUAGAGGAAGGAGAAGUCGUAACA